rnacentral:rRNA from 1 species
UGGGGGAUAUUGCACAAUGGGCGAAAGCCUGAUGCAGCGACGCCGCGUGGGGGAUGAAGGCUUUCGGGUUGUAAACCUCUUUCGCUAUCGAACAAGGCCCGCUUAGGGUGGGUUGAGGGUAGGUGGAGAAGAAGCGCCGGCUAACUACGUGCCAGCAGCCGCGGUAAUACGUAGGGCGCGAGCGUUGUCCGGAAUUAUUGGGGGUAAAGGGCUUGUAGGCGGCUUGUUGCGCCUGCUGUGAAAACGCGGGGCUUAACUUCGCGCGUGCAGUGGGUACGGGCAGGCUUGAGUGUGGUAGGGGUGACUGGAAUUCCAGGUGUAGCGGUGGAAUGCGCAGAUAUCUGGAGGAACACCGAUGGCGAAGGCAGGUCACUGGGCCAUUACUGACGCUGAGGAGCGAAAGAAUGGGUAGCGAACAGG